AUGGGAAUUAAGAGUGUGAGCCGCACGUGGGACAACCUGAUCAUCUUGUAUCCUCCCCAGUGCUUAGAACAGUGCUUUGCACAUAGUAAGCACUUAACAAAUGUCAUCAUUAUUUUUAGGGAAGCAGGAGGAGGAGGGAUGAGAAGAGGAGAGCCUGAAGGAGAGAGAAGGAUGCAAGGAGAGGAAGAGAAGGAGGCAGGAGGCAGAAGAAUGAAAAAGGGGUCUGAGGACUACACCCUGACCACAUCUUAUCACUGCUCUGGCCUCUGCUUUCCCCCCUGGAGGAUGGGGUCAGGGGAAGAACAAGAGCCCUCAACCCAGCGCCUCUCUUUCUGCCACUGCACUUGUUUCAAGAGGUCAGUGAGCUUCUUUCCUCCUCUGCCUACUCAAUCUCUCCCUUCACUCCACCCCAUCCUAGUCCCCCCUUGCAUUCUAGGGACCCAUCCUUCUGGUGGCCCGGCCUGGUCCAUGACAGCUGGAUCCUUCUCAAUGCUAAAUCGAGUUUUUCUGGAAAAUCCCAACAGCUCAUUCAAGCUCCUGACUAGUCUGGGUAAGUCGUGAGUCCCUACCUCAGCCUGGAAGUAAACCUGGAAGACAGGGGAGCAGCGAUGACGAGUCAGAGAUGAUCAACUGGUUUCUGAAUGGGGAUCACAGAGGAAACGUCAGUUAACUCACCUUCAGAGUCUCCCUGCAAAGACUUUGGAGGGAGCUAAGCCUAGCAGGACACUUGCCACCGGAACAUUCCAAGUCAAAACUAUACCUGCAAACUCCAUCCCAUCGCUAAGUUCAACCUGGCAAAUAAUAAUAAUUUAUAACACUG
rnacentral:lncRNA from 1 species